GCAGAAGGCAUUCGAUAUGAAAUGAAUGGCCACAUCCGCGGAAAACGUUCCAGAGAGGGUUAACUCUUUCGCAGCUGAUCAAAUCGCACUUUCUAUGACAGGGAAUAUAUAAAGUGUCAAUUCGCUUUCUGCUGUAAUUUGGCUUUCUGGGUGGAACAAAUGCAGAUUGGAAGAAAUGGAGUUCAUGCUUGCAAGCAUCAAUUUCUUUAGCUUUGCGUGAAAUUUCAUCAGCUGUAUCAGUUUCUUUGGUUUGUUUUCUCAAGACUGAGUGAAAGUUUUCCACUGGAUACUCAUCGAAUGCAGAACAUCGAGAGAAUAAGAUCCCUGAUCAAUGUCCAUCCGCCAUAAAUGAUUUCAAGCAAUAGAGAUGUACGCCAUGGUUUUGGUUUCUUAGCCAGCUUUGCUUUUUUCCCAAAGAUGAAAGCAUAAAGGAUGUGCAACAAUUCCAAGAUUCCGUAGAGAUUCAAGCCCUUGUUUGCUGAUUCCAAACUGCUGCAGUGUCCUGGAUAGUGUGACUUGAAAUGAGUUGCAUUUUUGUGAUUACAUUGGAUCCAAUGUUAUGGCUUCUUGUAUGGAUGAAUAUAAUUUAUCAGCACCAACAUCUUUGCACAUAAUCUCAAACACAUCAGGAUCCAUUUCAGGCUCUGCCAAUUUUGUUAUGACAGAUUCUUGCCUGUUCAUCUCGUUUUUAGCAGAAGAUUCCAAUACCACAAGCUAAAUUACAAGUGUGCUUAAUUGACUUUUUUUUCUCUGAGGGCCAUACUAAUGGCCAUAAGGUAAUUAUAUGGUUUCAGCUCUUCACCUACACACCCCACCCACUUAUUUCUAAAAUGUAAAAGUAUGGGCAUUUACAAUGUGAGGGCCCAGAGUAUGUUGUCAUUCUGUAAUAACGGAUUUUCUUUGAUAAUUACAGCAAGUUCACUGAUCAGUUUAAUGCUUUUUGUAGGUCAUACCUGGCUUUUCACGUUGUUUUUCAACUCGUCGGCUUGUUGUUUAGGAAGCAAUCGCGUAAAUUUCCUUUUCGUGAAGCAUUUGUGCAGGCAUGUUGCACAUAGAUUCUGGAUUCCAUAAGACGAUUUUUCGCCAAGUUCUUCCUUAACAUAUUGCUCAAAAACUACUGAAAUUACAAGCAGGCCACGAUUUCUUAGAUUUAAAACCUUUUCUCCUUCACGCCCCGACCAUUUUUUAUGAAACGGAUUGUUGCAUUGCUUUUUAAAUUUUGGCAUUUUGACAGACUUUAUUCACUUUAACAAUUUGUAGUAUCCUUUUUGCAUACGCUGAGAAAAAAGAAACAUUUUCGGAAAAAGCGCGCGAUUUUCCCCGCUGUAUACGAUAUAAUAUUCAUAAUAUUUUAAAAAGUAAGCAAAGCAAUAUUUGUUAGUUAUAAUGUAAAUAUACACUCUUUGUCAUAUAUUAUUUAGUUAACGUCUUGGUAACCAUUAUUUUUUAGAGAAAUCAGUUUGUAAACAAUGCAAUUUCUGUAGAGUCUAGAGACAGGACUGGUGAUCUACACUGGUCAUGCCGUGACAAUUCAAACAUAAAUAAUUUUCGCUCCAGGACGAUUCUGGAAAAAUCCGACGACAAAAUUGUAGAAAAGGAAUUGCUUUAUCAGAUUCUAGUGUUUUAAGAUUGAAAAACUAAAUAUUGACUGCUGCAGAAGGCUUAGAACAGGGUGUUAUGAUUUCACUCCUUCUGUUUACAUUUUGCAAAUUCCACGUAAUCUGAUUGGUCUAGAGACCAAAAUGUCAACAAACGCCCUGAUUGGUCAACAUUUUUCCC